GGACUACCGGGGUUUCUAAUCCUGUUUGCUCCCCAUGCUUUCGCGCCUCAGCGUCAGUAUCAGCCCAGUAAACCGUCUUCACCACCGGUGUUCUUCCACAUAUCUACGCAUUUCACCGCUACACGUGGAAUUCCGUUUACCCUAACUAAACUCUAGUUCUAUAGUUUCAAAUGCAGCUCCAGGGUUGAGCCCUGGAAUUUCACAUCUGACUUAUAAUACCGCCUACGCGCCCUUUACGCCCAGUAAUUCCGAUCAAUGCUUGCACCCUCCGUAUUACCGCGGCGGCUGGCAC
rnacentral:rRNA from 1 species